CAUUGACAGAAGAAACAUUGUUGCAGUCUUGUGUCGAUGUAUGAGUGAAUUCAUCAUUUUAGCUUCUGCAACAUUGUCGCCGUGGAUUUUCAAACAACCCCGUUUGUGUAACAGAUUAAGCGGACCCUGCGGCCUGUGUAUAUGCAGAGAUAACUCUGGGUCUUCCUUUCCUGUGGUGGUCCUCAUGAGAGUCAGUUUCAUCACAGUGCUUGAUGGUUUUUACGACUGCACUUGAAGAAACUUUCAAAGUUCCUGAAGUGUUCUGCCUUGACUGACGUUCAUGUCUUAAAGUAAUGAUGGACAGUCAUUUCUCUUUGCUUAUUUGAGCUGUUCCUGCCAUAAUAUGGACUUGUCAUUUUACCAAAUACGACUAUCUCCUGUAUACCAACCCUACCUUGUCACAACACAACUGAUUGGCUCAAGCGCAUUAAGAAGGAAAUAAACUCCACUAUUUAACUUUUAAAGAGGCACACCUGUUAAUGCAUUCCAGGUAACUGCCUCAUGAAGCUGGUUGAGAGAAUGCAAAGCGUGUGCAAAGCUGCCAUCAAGGCAAAGGGUGGCUACUUUGAAAAAUCUAAAUUAUAAAAUAUAUUUUUAUUUGUUUAACACUUUUUUGGUUACUACAUGAUUCCAUAUGUGUUAUUUCAUAGUUUUGAUGUCUUUACUAUUUUCUGUCUUCAUUAUUAUUCUACAAUGUAGAAAAUAGUACAAAUAAAGAAAAACCCUGGCAUGAGUAAGUGUGUCCAAAGUUUUGACUGGUAUUGUACAUAUUACCUCAAUUACCUCGACUAACCUGUACCGCUGCACAUUGACUCGAUACCGGUACCCCCUGUAUUUAGCCUCAUUUUUGUUAUUUUAUUGAGUAACUUUUUUAAACUUGAGUUUAUUUAGUAAAUAUAAUUUUUCUUAACUGCAUCGUUGUUUAAGGACUUGUAAGUACACAUUUCACAGUACGGUCUACACCUGUUGUAUUUGGCACAUGUGACAAAUAACAUUUGAUUUGAUUUGACAUAGUGUAUAUAAUACUGUAAGAAGCUCACAUAGUUGCUGUAACAAACUACAAACUCCACACAGUUGUCAC
ensembl:lncRNA